rnacentral:lncRNA from 1 species
UCAGACCAUUGCUAUUACCUUGAUCACAGCCUUCCCUGAGGAAGCUCCCUGGAAAAAGCAUAGAACUCUAAACCCAAGUCUUGGGAAUAGUAGUGCCUCAUGACCACUAACCCAACCUCCACAACCUUCAUCCCAAGAAGUAAUUCCUGUGAAGAAUGGAUAUGGCCAGCUUUGAAUGCCUGAAGAGAUUAGCCUUCCUUAGAGUUUCCUCAGAUGGUUAUAACAAGCAACUUGGGUACCCAGUGCAAGCAACACCAACCAGGGCCAGUAGCAUGAAUUGUAUUCUCAAAACCAAAAUAACACCAUAACAUGAAGAAUUCACUUUAAGCCACCCCGCUGUCAAUAAACACAACCAAGCAUGUGUGCUUAGAUAACUG